CUCGGCGCCGCCUGAAGGGUCCUUCGCGUUGCCUCAAGUUCGACUGGGCCGCAAAACCUCCUCUUCCUCCGUCCGCACAACCAAGACCAAAAAAAAAAAGAAAAAAAUCCCCAGCAGGGCUCGAUUCUUCUUCUGAAUGCAAGCCCUUCGUUUUUGGAUAUGCUUUCCUGCUUCUCCGACGCUCAGGACCCUACAGAUCCCAUGGUACUCUAAGGAGUCGGGACGAUGCCAAGAUUAAGCUCCUUAUCGCUUCGGGAAUGGCGUGAUCCAACCGGGUCAAUCUUUCGCCGUUAGCGGUGCGACUGGAGGCCGCGGUUCUGCCUCCGAUGUCACCACCUGCCUGGUCAGCCUUUGGCCUCCAGCCUCUGGACAUCGAUCCCUCCGGAGAGGGGCUGAACAGAGCCAGUUUGGGAGAGAGAAAAGAAAAAGAAGCUAGCAGUUAUUGCUCGAGCCCCUACUGUGUAUGAGUACAAACAUUAUCUCAUUUAUUCCUCAUUACAACCUGUGAAAGAGAUUUUUAUCCCAUUUUAUGGAAACUGAGCUUCAGAAUGGGAUGGAGCCAGCAAGAUGAUCCUAGACAAAGAAGGAAUAGGCCUCCUGAGGAACUAUAUGUGAAACAAAACACUUAGACAAAUAUGUCAUGACAUUAACUCCCCUGUUCAGUAUGUGAGUAAAUGUGGCAUCUGCUUUGAUUUCUAAAGAAAGUUGAUUGUUAUCCACAAAAAAUAAACAACAAAGUCAUUUAUUUGGGGUCAUAGGCUAGACAUGUAGAGUUUUUCUUGGUUUAAUGGCAAACGAUUUCAAAUUUUAGUAAAUUAUAAAUUAUCUUUAACUUAAUUUAUGAUAGGGCUUAAUUUAUGAAAUGAAGAAAGACAACAUGGGGGGAAAGGUAUCGUGAGUGGGGAAUGGGGUACUGGGGAGAGAAUGAGGAAUGGUAGAGAGGAAGGAAUAGGCAGUCCCCCAAAUCUUAGUUUAGCCCUUCAUCUGAUGAACUGAAGAUUGCCUGCACUAUAAAAGAAUAACUUGUUUCAUGUUAGAUUUUUAAAAUAGGAUAAAUUUUUAAAAUAGGCUACUUAAAAACCCUGUAACAUUCAUGCAAAUCUCAAAAUCAUCCAGUGGCCUGGUCUCUCAAAGUGAAUGGAUACACCCCCAAACCCAGUCGUGGUGGGGACAAUAUUUCCUUGGAUGCUUCUGUCAAUUCUAUCACCAGUGGUUUAUUUUCCCAUAUGCGUAUCACCUCUAAUGUGUCAGCAGCCUGGUGCAGUUCCUCAUCUCCUCCCACAUGGAUAACAGCAAGAGCUGUGUGAAAAAAGAACCUGGCUGGUUCCUUUUGACUCCAGUUCCUCCAUCCUUUAAUGCAAACUGCGUACCAUUCAUUCAUUCAUUUAUUCAAUCAAUAGAUAAUUAUAAUGGUUGUAUAUUCUUCUAGUUUAUUUCUCACUGUUGUUCUUACACAUCCCUUCUGCCUGACAAGUCUUUCACCUCC